rnacentral:rRNA from 1 species
AGAGCGGCGGACGGGUGAGUAAUGCUUGGGAAUCUGCCCAAUAGUGGGGGAUAACGUGUGGAAACGCACGCUAAUACCGCAUACGUCCUACGGGAGAAAGCAGGGGAUCUUCGGACCUUGCGCUAUUGGAUGAGCCCAAGUCGGAUUAGCUAGUUGGUAGGGUAAAGGCCUACCAAGGCGACGAUCCGUAGCUGGUCUGAGAGGACGACCAGCCACACUGGAACUGAGACACGGUCCAGACUCC